UACGUAGGUGGCAAGCGUUGUCCGGAUUUACUGGGCGUAAAGAGCGCGCAGGCGGUCGUACAAGUCGCGUGUGAAAGCCCCCGGCUCAACUGGGGAGGGUCACGCGAUACUGAUCGACUCGAAGGCAGGAGAGGGUAGUGGAAUUCCCGGUGUAGUGGUGAAAUGCGUAGAUAUCAGGAGGAACACCGGUGGCGAAGGCGGGUCUCUGGGCCGAUACUGACGCUGAGGAGCGAAAGCGUGGGGAGCAAACGGG
rnacentral:rRNA from 1 species